rnacentral:rRNA from 1 species
UACGUAGGGUGCAGGCGUUAAUCGGAAUUACUGGGCGUAAAGCGUGCGUAGGCGGUUUGUUCAGACAGGUGUGAAAUCCCCGGGCUUAACCUGGGAACUGCGCUUGUUACUGGCAGACUUGAGUGUGGCAGAGGGGGGUGGAAUUCCACGUGUAGCAGUGAAAUGCGUAGAGAUGUGGAGGAACACCGAUGGCGAAGGCAGCCCCCUGGGCUAACACUGACGCUGAUGCACGAAAGCGUGGGGAGCAAACAGG